rnacentral:tRNA from 1 species
GUCAAAGAUGGCCGAGUGGUUAAGGCGCCAGACUUAAGUUCUGGUCUUCGAAGAAGGCGUGGGUUCAAACCCCACUCUUGACA